AACCUAUUAGCUCAAAUGGGAGAGCAAUGUGCUAUGGCACAUGGAUGUAGGUUCAAAUCCUACAUAGGUUG
rfam:Spinacia oleracea cultivar SynViroflay scaffold16082.con0004.1, whole genome shotgun sequence.